UCUGGUGGAUACGUUUGAGUGCCCCGAGACCCAAAAAGCUUGAUUAUGACGAUAUUUCCAUAAACAAAGCGAAGCUUUUGUCAGCCCCAAGCUCGGAUUACUGUUUUGUUUCGUUUUUUUUCGCAUUUCGAUAUGGUGAUCGAAACGAGUUUAAGGAAAAGACAUCACCGAUUUCGAAGCCAUUUCUCAGUCACUGAAAAGCAGAGCUAAUGUAGAACUCCUGCAGCGCACCUCGCUUGUGGCCAAGCGAUAAUUAUCAAGUUAAUAACUCGACACUAAUUAGUCAGGUGGGCAUGAGGGUAUGGGAGCUAAAUGAAGUACGACCCUAGGUCGCGAGGCAGGGAAAAAACUAUUAUGAUGUAGUCCAAGCUGAAAACGAAAGCGAAACGAUUUCAGGUAAAGGAAAACCCAUCAAGUGCACAGCAAGAUCGAAGCCAUGCUCCACUAUAAUCUAUUAAGAUACCAUUGGGAAUCUGUUUAAAGUGGAACCCUUUUCAUAUUAACCUUUGCAUCUAAGAUCGUAGUCGGAUCUCGGUUUUAAUGAGUGCGAUAAAGUCCGAUGAGAAACCCAUUCGGAAUGGGUCAGAAACUUGAGCUGGAAAGCAAUCCAAAUGCCAGUGAAUGAGGUAAAUUAAAUCACAGCAUCAGUGGCGGCAGCAAAGCAGCAACUCAACUUAAUGACGACGGACGGCGGACGAUGGACGGAUGGAUGGCUGGAUGGCUGGUUGGCUGGCAAGGCAACUUUUCCAACGGUUUAUAUCUGGCGAAUCCCCAGCGGAGGCAGCAGCAGCCGCACCACCAACAACAACAAGACCUGACCAAAAAAUCGAUGAGUGCUCAAUUAACUGUUAUUUGCACAUACUCACAGAUGUAGCAGCACCCACGUACUCGCCCACUCAUCCACUCUCUCAAAAUUGAAAACAAAAAAUAUAUACACAUUACGCACUGAUGAAA